rnacentral:rRNA from 1 species
GACGAACGCUGGCGGCGUGCUUAACACAUGCAAGUCGAACGGAAAGGCCCUGCUUUUGUGGGUUGCUCGAGUGGCGAACGGGUGAGUAACACGUGAGUAACCUGCCCUUGACUUUGGGAUAACUUCAGGAAACUGGGGCUAAUACCGGAUAGGAGCUCCUGCUGCAUGGUGGGGGUUGGAAAGUUUCGGCGGUUGGGGAUGUACUCGCGGCUUAUCAGCUUGUUGGUGGGGUAGUGGCUUACCAAGGCUUUGACGGGUAGCCGGCCUGAGAGGGGGACCGGCGACAAUGGGACUGAGAGACGGACCAGAAGCCUACGGGAGGCAGCAGUGGGGAAUAUUGCACAAUGGGGGGAAGCCUGAGGCAGCAACGCCGCGUGCGGGAUGACGGCCUUCGGGUUGUAAACCGCUUUCGCCUGUGACGAAGCGUGAGUGACGGUAAUGGGUAAAGAAGCACCGGCUAACUACGUG